CCUACGGGUGGCAGCAGUAGGGAAUAUUGCGCAAUGGGCGAAAGCCUGACGCAGCGACGCCGCGUGAGUGACGAAGGCCUUCGGGUUGUAAAACUCUGUCCUUGGGGAAGAAGGAAGUGACGGUACCCAAGGAGGAAGCCCCGGCUAACUACGUGCCAGCAGCCGCGGUAAAACGUAGGGGGCGAGCGUUGUCCGGAAUUACUGGGCGUAAAGGGUGCGUAGGCGGCCUUUUAAGUCAGGUGUGAAAGACCACAGCUUAACUGUGGGGUUGCACUUGAAACUGGGAGGCUUGAGUUUCGGAGAGGAAGGUGGAAUUCCCGGUGUAGCGGUGAAAUGCGUAGAUAUCGGGAGGAACGCCAGUGGCGAAGGCGGCCUUCUGGCCUUGACCUGACGCUGAGGAGCGAAAGCCAGGGUAGCGAACGGGAUUAGAUACCCGUGUAGUCAC
rnacentral:rRNA from 1 species